rnacentral:lncRNA from 1 species
AUGGAAGAGCUGUUACCAUUCAAACAAAUGUUUCUGUCGAACAUGUAUCCCACCUUCAUUACCUACUUGGGCCCUGCAGCCCACGUUGGCUUGCCUAUCUUACAACUCAGAGAGCUUGCAAGCACAGCUUUUGAGGCAUCAAAAGCUCGCAACGCUAAGAGCCCUGACCACUCGGUUUUGAAGUUUGACCAGGAGCACUCACUCCAGUUAGAGGGUGCAUUAUCAGGUAUUGUAGCGUCGAGAGCUGACGCACAACAACAGUUUCUACCACGAAACCAUGAUUCCAAUAACCGCCGCGGUCGAAAUAACUGUAAAGUACGUCGCCUUCAAAACGACUACCGCUACAAUCGACCUGUUCGCUACGUUCCUGUACCCAACCCACACAAAGUGUCAGAACACAAGGGUAACAAAGGGUUGAUGGACGAUCAAAACGUAGACCAAUGUUCUCCAGAAGUCCCACUACGGGAAGAACUAAAGCGAGAACAAUUUGAGAAAAGGUUAAAAGAUAAGUCACAAGGACUAGACGGGGAAUUACCGGACACCAGGUCCGCAGGAAUUAACACCCAUAGCAUGGACGUUAAAGUUCAAAUUUCUCCCGCUCUCAUUCAAGACCCUAUCCAGGGCCCGCUUGAUCAAGAAACAAGCCCCCGGGCUCGGUCUAUAGACUCCGAUACAAAAGUUGCGAAGGUAAAGGUCAAACGCUUAGUUAAAGCCAAGCCCACUCAAAAUCGGAAAAGUCAAUCUGCUUCCAUCUUGAACAGACAUGGCACAUCACGUCGUUGCGAACGACCACUCCACUUUGUGGGGAAUAUGUCUACGAACCACGAAUCUAAACGGCCAUACCUGGAAACAGUCCUGGAGGACUGCUUAGCUUGUCAGGCGCUAAUUGAUUCGGGUGCGACAAUAUCACUCAUCUCUCAAACAUUGUUUGAUGAGCUCAAAAGGGCUUUGAAGCCAACUAAACGUUGGUUAAAAGUGGAACGAUGCGACACUACACUUCGAGGGGUCACUCAGACUACCUCGCCUCUCACAUUGAGAGUCAUGCUGAAACUACACUUCCAGGACGUAUCGCUCGUUCAUCCUGUGUAUGUUACCAGCCUCGAAACUGUAACCCUGCUACUUGGAGCAGACUUGAUGGAUCGGUUACUCCCAUUGAUGGAUUGGAAAACCAACCAGGUAUGGUCACAGGCCACAGUGCCUUCUCCACUGACCCCACUGUCUUCCCCUAACGCUAGCUGCAACGCAGUCCUUCACGAGGGGUAUCUGUCAAAAGCACCCCUUGGGAAAAAGCCGUGUAGAAACCUCUUGGUGCAGAAUCCGAUCCAAGGAGAUAUUACGAUAUCUCGACACAUUCCAUCAGCCAAUCUGAUUGACCCUUCUUUUCAUGAUUUCGAGCCAGCUGUCUCUGUGAAUGAGCAACUUCCCUCCUUCUUGCAGUCGUGCAAUACGGUAGUUGAGAUGAACUUCUCUGGCCCUUCGGACACUUCCGCAAGCACUGCGGCCGUCUCAGCAAGAAAAACAUUGAUGCGCAGAGUACACUCUGCUUCCGAUGAUACACCUUCUGCUUUGUUGGGGACUGUCACCCCUUACAAUGACACUAAUGGCGUCAGUCCAGCAACUGACCCGAUGACUCCCACUGGUGAAACACUUUGCGAUAUCACAGACCGAUAUCCUCGUCUCAGUUUGCAGGUACUGGAGAGGUUGCCACACGCGGACGCGGUGGUGACUGACAGACCUCGACAGCCACUGAGGGUGUUGAAGCACAAACACCAGGAGAUUUGGUUGAAAGGUUACAGCCAUUCUCAUAAUAACGCGGCCACUGACAACUCGUACAUAGGGUCCGACCUUUUCGUUUGCGCCUCGGACACCAACACCACCCGCUGGUGGGGGGGUCCCGAGACACAAAGGGGGGGAAUAGUAGCCCAGACCCAUGAUGAGCCUCAUCGAGGCCGGUGGGGGGGUCGAGACUACGGACAACACCGUACGAGGCCGCCAGAGCAUAAAUCAAAUCUAGUUGUAAACUCCCCUAUGAGAACAGUGAGGAGCAGACAGGCCCCUAGACGGGGAUUAUCUUAG